UACGUAGGUGACCAGCGUUGUCCGGAUUUACUGGGCGUAAAGAGCGCGCAGGCGGUCGUUCAAGUCGAGUGUGAAAGCCCCCGGCUCAACUGGGGAGGGUCACUCGAUACUGAUCGACUUGAAGGCAGGAGAGGGAAGCGGAAUUCCCGGUGUGGUGGUGAAAUGCGUAGAUAUCGGGAGGAACACCAGUGGCGAAGGCGGCUUCCUGGCCUGUUCUUGACGCUGAGGCGCGAAAGCUAGGGGAGCAAACGGG
rnacentral:rRNA from 1 species